rnacentral:rRNA from 1 species
AUUGAACGCUGGCGGCAGGCUUAACACAUGCAAGUCGAGCGAGCGGCGGACGGGUGAGUAAUGUCUGGGAAACUGCCUGAUGGAGGGGGAUAACUACUGGAAACGGUAGCUAAUACCGCAUACCAUCAGCUGUGCCCAGCGGGGAUUAGCUAGUAGGUGGGGUAAUGGCUCACCUAGGCGACGAUCCCUAGCGGGUCGUAGAGGAUGACCAGCCACCCGGGGACUGAGACACGGUCCAGACUCCACCGGGAGGCAGCAGUGGGGACGAUUGCACGAUGGUCUGUAGCCUGAUGCAGCCAUGCCGCGUGUGUGAAGAAGGCCUGCGGGUUGUAAAGCACUUUCAGCGAGGAGGCGUUACUCGCAGAAGAAGCACCGGCUAACUCCGUGCCAGCAGCCGCGGUAAUAC